rnacentral:rRNA from 1 species
AUUGAACGCUGGCGGCAGGCCUAACACAUGCAAGUCGAGCGGAUGAAGGGAGCUUGCUCCUGGAUUCAGCGGCGGACGGGUGAGUAAUGCCUAGGAAUCUGCCUGGUAGUGGGGGAUAACGUCCGGAAACGGGCGCUAAUACCUCAUACGUCCUGAGGGAGAAAGUGGGGGAUCUUCGUACCUCACGCUAUCAGAUGAGCCUAGGUCGGAUUAGCUAGUUGGUGGGGUAAAGGCCUACCAAGGCGACGAUCCGUAACUGGUCUGAGAGGAUGAUCAGUCACACUGGAACUGAGACACGGUCCAGACUCCUACGGGAGGCAGCAGUGGGGAAUAUUGGACAAUGGGCGAAAGCCUGAUCCAGCCAUGCCGCGUGUGUGAAGAAGGUCUUCGGAUUGUAAAGCACUUUAAGUUGGGAGGAAGGGCAGUAAGUUAAUACCUUGCUGUUUUGACGUUACCAACAGAAUAAGCACCGGCUAACUUCGUG